UAAGAAAGCCUUUUGGUCCUCUCGUACUAAGAAGGCAUUUAUAAUAAAAAGAUAAAAUC
rnacentral:tRNA from 1 species